rnacentral:rRNA from 1 species
CCUACGGGGGGCUGCAGUGGGGAAUAUUGCACAAUGGGCGCAAGCCUGAUGCAGCCAUGCCGCGUGUGUGAAGAAGGCCUUCGGGUUGUAAAGCACUUUCAGCGGGGAGGAAGGCGGUGAGGUUAAUAACCUCAUCGAUUGACGUUACCCGCAGAAGAAGCACCGGCUAACUCCGUGCCAGCAGCCGCGGUAAUACGGAGGGUGCAAGCGUUAAUCGGAAUUACUGGGCGUAAAGCGCACGCAGGCGGUCUGUCAAGUCGGAUGUGAAAUCCCCGGGCUCAACCUGGGAACUGCAUUCGAAACUGGCAGGCUAGAGUCUUGUAGAGGGGGGUAGAAUUCCAGGUGUAGCGGUGAAAUGCGUAGAGAUCUGGAGGAAUACCGGUGGCGAAGCCGGCCCCCUGGACAAAGACUGACGCUCAGGUGCGAAAGCGUGGGGAGCAAACAGGAUUAGAUACCCUUGUAGUC